rnacentral:rRNA from 1 species
UUCGGUCCCUAUCUGUUGUGGGCGGAGGAGAGUUGAGAGGGGCGUUCACUAGUACGAGAGGACUGUGAAGGAUGAACCUCUGGUGUGCCGGUUGUCGUGCCAACGGCAGUGCCGGGUAGCUAUGUUCAGUUGGGAUAACCGCUGAAAGCAUCUAAGCGGGAAGCCUGCCUCAAGAUAAGCUCUCCCGGGGCGCAAGCCCCCUAAAGGACACUUGUAGACUACGAGUUUGAUAGGCUGGGUGUGGAAGGCUCGUAAGGGCUGUAGCUAACCAGUACUAAUCGUCCGUGCGGCUUAACAUC